rnacentral:tRNA from 1 species
CUAAGGAAGCUGUGGAUCUGGUAAGACGACCUUCUGACAAGUCUUUGGCUUGUCCCGAGGUAUGAACCAUCCCGUGCUUUUUAGAACAUAGAUCGGACCAGUCAGGUCACGAUCGCAACGCAAUACGUCGGCUGUUCAUUGCUUUAGGUGAUGACGGACCGAAGAAGGCAGGUCAUGCCGGCCAUGUUUCUCUUUCUCGAAGGAUACGAACCACCCCGUUGUUUGGGUGUGGCUCUGACGAAUGGGCCCGUAGCUCAGGUGGUUAGAGCGCACGCCUGAUAAGCGUGAGGUCGGCAGUUCGAGUCUGCCCGGGCCCACCAUUCGUUGGCGUCCAUGGCGGCAUCGUUAUGGGGCUGUAGCUCAGCUGGGAGAGCACCUGCUUUGCAAGCAGGGGGUCAGCGGUUCGAUCCCGCUCAGCUCCACCACUUCUUUUGGAUGUGGUGUCAAGUUUUGUGGGUAUCCAUCUUGAAAAAUGAAGUUUGCAUCCCGCUUAUUGGCCCGAUGCCUGUUCUGUCCUACAUGGUGAAGAGAAGAUUGAUCCGGAUUGAGUUUACGCUCAAUGCCUGAAGGAUCAUUUGUUGUUCGAAGGCUUUGGCCUUUGUCUGAUGGAUGAUCUGGUGGAUGUUCCCUGACCGCGCAUCCUCGGAUUUGAUCUCGAGAAGCUGGUCUUAAGGUAUGGCCAGGCGCACGCUCGGCGUGUGCGCUUAUAACAUGGACCAUACCGAACACGUCGAUGGCAUCUGAAUGGUUCGGCUGUAAAAGGUAGCUGGACUGUUGUUCCCCGCAUUAUCGUUAGGCGGUGGAAGGGCUGCGGCAAACGCAGGUUUGCCCGUAUAGCCAGAUCUGGAACCCCUGUGAGCGCAAGCGAUCAGGAAAGGUCUUCCAGAUCCAACUAUUGAUGAGCAUUGGCAAUGAGAACGA